GAUGGUUCUCGGGUGACACACCCCAAAAUCGGGCUUUCUCCUCUCUGGUUCCAGGUGCGUCACCAGAGAACCAUA
rfam:Myotis davidii contig185989, whole genome shotgun sequence.